rnacentral:rRNA from 1 species
GAUGAACGCUGGCGGCGUGCCUAAUACAUGCAAGUCGAGCGAACGGACGAGAAGCUUGCUUCUCUGAUGUUAGCGGCGGACGGGUGAGUAACACGUGGAUAACCUACCUAUAAGACUGGGAUAACUUCGGGAAACCGGAGCUAAUACCGGAUAAUAUUUUGAACCGCAUGGUUCAAAAGUGAAAGACGGUCUUGCUGUCACUUAUAGAUGGAUCCGCGCUGCAUUAGCUAGUUGGUAAGGUAACGGCUUACCAAGGCAACGAUGCAUAGCCGACCUGAGAGGUUGAUCGGCCACACUGGAACUGAGACACGGUCCAGACUCCUACGGGAGGCAGCAGUGGGGAAUCUUCCGCAAUGGGCGAAAGCCUGACGGAGCAACGCCGCGUGAGUGAUGAAGGUCUUCGGAUCGUAAAACUCUGUUAUUAGGGAAGAACAUAUGUGUAAGUAACUGUGCACAUCUUGACGGUACCUAAUCAGAAAGCCACGGCUAACUACGUG